rnacentral:rRNA from 1 species
AACGACUCUCGGCAACGGAUAUCUCGGCUCUCGCAUCGAUGAAGAACGUAGCGAAAUGCGAUACUUGGUGUGAAUUGCAGAAUCCCGUGAACCAUCGAGUCUUUGAACGCAAGUUUGCGCCCCAAGCCAUUAGGCCGAGGGCACGCCUGCCUGGGUGUCACGC